rnacentral:sRNA from 2 species
UGAUACGAUGCGCUGAAUCCGGCAUGGAGCCGGGGACCCGAUUUGGCAGCGUCUGCUGUCUUGGGGUGAAUCCGACCAGGAAGGGCAUCUCUCCAAGCCCGAACGACAGCUAACCUCGCAAGCGCUUUGGGGAGGGACG